rnacentral:rRNA from 1 species
GUGUAGGUGUGUGUUCCAGGUAAAUCCGGUUCACUUUAACACUGAGGCGUGACGACGAGGCACUACGGUGCUGAAGCAACAAAUGCCCUGCUUCCAGGAAAAGCCUCUAAGCAUCAGGUAACACGAAAUCGUACCCCAAACCGACACAGGUGGUCAGGUAGAGAAUACCAAGGCGCUUGAGAGAACUCGGGUGAAGGAACUAGGCAAAAUGGUGCCGUAACUUCGGGAGAAGGCACGCUGACACGUAGGUGAAGUGAUUUACUCAUGGAGCUGAAGUCAGUCGAAGAUACCAGCUGGCUGCAACUGUUUAUUAAAAACACAGCACUGUGCAAACACGAGAGUGGACGUAUACGGUGUGACGCCUGCCCGGUGCCGGAAGGUUAAUUGAUGGGGUCAGCGUAAGCGAAGCUCCUGAUCGAAGCCCCGGUAAACGGCGGCCGUAACUAUAACGGUCCUAAGGUAGCGAAAUUCCUUGUCGGGUAAGUUCCGACCUGCACGAAUGGCGUAAUGAUGGCCAGGCUGUCUCCACCCGAGACUCAGUGAAAUUGAACUCGCUGUGAAGAUGCAGUGUACCCGCGGCAAGACGGAAAGACCCCGUGAACCUUUACUAUAGCUUGACACUGAACAUUGAGCCUUGAUGUGUAGGAUAGGUGGGAGGCUUUGAAGUGUGGACGCCAGUCUGCAUGGAGCCGACCUUGAAAUACCACCCUUUAAUGUUUGAUGUUCUAACGUGGACCCGUAAUCCGGGUUGCGGACAGUGUCUGGUGGGUAGUUUGACUGGGGCGGUCUCCUCCUAAAGAGUAACGGAGGAGCACGAAGGUUGGCUAAUCCUGGUCGGACAUCAGGAGGUUAGUGCAAUGGCAUAAGCCAGCUUGACUGCGAGCGUGACGGCGCGAGCAGGUGCGAAAGCAGGUCAUAGUGAUCCGGUGGUUCUGAAUGGAAGGGCCAUCGCUCAACGGAUAAAAGGUACUCCGGGGAUAACAGGCUGAUACCGCCCAAGAGUUCAUAUCGACGGCGGUGUUUGGCACCUCGAUGUCGGCUCAUCACAUCCUGGGGCUGAAGUAGGUCCCAAGGGUAUGGCUGUUCGCCAUUUAAAGUGGUACGCGAGCUGGGUUUAGAACGUCGUGAGACAGUUCGGUCCCUAUCUGCCGUGGGCGCUGGAGAACUGAGGGGGGCUGCUCCUAGUACGAGAGGACCGGAGUGGACGCAUCACUGGUGUUCGGGUUGUCAUGCCAAUGGCACUGCCCGGUAGCUAAAUGCGGAAGAGAUAAGUGCUGAAAGCAUCUAAGCACGAAACUUGCCCCGAGAUGAGUUCUCCCUGAGACUUAG